rnacentral:rRNA from 1 species
UACGAAGGGGGCUAGCGUUGCUCGGAAUCACUGGGCGUAAAGCGCACGUAGGCGGCUUGUUAAGUCAGGGGUGAAAUCCUGGAGCUCAACUCCAGAACUGCCUUUGAUACUGGCGAGCUUGAGUCCGGGAGAGGUGAGUGGAACUGCGAGUGUAGAGGUGAAAUUCGUAGAUAUUCGCAAGAACACCGGUGGCGAAGGCGGCCCUCUGGACCGGUACUGACGCUGAUGCGCGAAAGCGUGGGUAGCAAACGGGG